rnacentral:rRNA from 1 species
GUUAUAUGGUCAAGUGAAGAAGCGCAUACGGUGGAUGCCUUGGCAGUCAGAGGCGAUGAAAGACGUGGUAGCCUGCGAUAAGCUUCGGGGAGUCGGCAAACAGACUUUGAUCCGGAGAUCUCUGAAUGGGGGAACCCACCUAGGAUAACCUAGGUAUCUUGUACUGAAUCCAUAGGUGCAAGAGGCGAACCAGGGGAACUGAAACAUCUAAGUACCCUGAGGAAAAGAAAUCAACCGAGAUUCCCUUAGUAGUGGCGAGCGAACGGGGAYUAGCCCUUAAGCUUCAUUGAUUUUAGCGGAACGCUCUGGAAAGUGCGGCCAUAGUGGGUGAUAGCCCYGUACGCGAAAGGAUCUUUGAAGUGAAAUCGAGUAGGACGGAGCACGAGAAACUUUGUCUGAACAUGGGGGGACCAUCCUCCAAGGCUAAAUACUACUGACUGACCGAUAGUGAACCAGUACCGUGAGGGAAAGGCGAAAAGAACCCCGGAGAGGGGAGUGAAAUAGAACCUGAAACCGUAUGCGUACAAGCAGUGGGAGCCUACUUGUUAGGUGACUGCGUACCUUUUGUAUAAUGGGUCAGCGACUUAUAUUCAGUGGCGAGCUUAACCGAAUAGGGUAGGCGUAGCGAAAGCGAGUCUUAAUAGGGCGUUUAGUCGCUGGGUAUAGACCCGAAACCGGGCGAUCUAUCCAUGAGCAGGUUGAAGGUUAGGUAACACUGACUGGAGGACCGAACCCACUCCCGUUGAAAAGGUAGGGGAUGACUUGUGGAUCGGAGUGAAAGGCUAAUCAAGCUCGGAGAUAGCUGGUUCUCCUCGAAAGCUAUUUAGGUAGCGCCUCAUGUAUCACUCUGGGGGGUAGAGCACUGUUUCGGCUAGGGGGUCAUCCCGACUUACCAAACCGAUGCAAACUCCGAAUACCCRGAAGUGCCGAGCAUGGGAGACACACGGCGGGUGCUAACGUCCGUCGUGAAAAGGGAAACAACCCAGACCGCCAGCUAAGGUCCCAAAGUUGUGGUUAAGUGGUAAACGAUGUGGGAAGGCUUAGACAGCUAGGAGGUUGGCUUAGAAGCAGCCAUCCUUUAAAGAAAGCGUAAUAGCUCACUAGUCGAGUCGGCCUGCGCGGAAGAUGUAACGGGGCUCAAACCACACACCGAAGCUGCGGGUGUCACGUAAGUGACGCGGUAGAGGAGCGUUCUGUAAGCCUGUGAAGGUGAGUUGAGAAGCUUGCUGGAGGUAUCAGAAGUGCGAAUGCUGACAUGAGUAACGACAAUGGGUGUGAAAAACACCCACGCCGAAAGACCAAGGGUUCCUGCGCAACGUUAAUCGACGCAGGGUUAGUCGGUUCCUAAGGCGAGGCUGAAAAGCGUAGUCGAUGGGAAACAGGUUAAUAUUCCUGUACUUCUGGUUACUGCGAUGGAGGGACGGAGAAGGCUAGGCCAGCUUGGCGUUGGUUGUCCAAGUUUAAGGUGGUAGGCUGAAAUCUUAGGUAAAUCCGGGGUUUCAAGGCCGAGAGCUGAUGACGAGUCGUCUUUUAGAUGACGAAGUGGUUGAUGCCAUGCUUCCAAGAAAAGCUUCUAAGCUUCAGGUAACCAGGAACCGUACCCCAAACCGACACAGGUGGUCGGGUAGAGAAUACCAAGGCGCUUGAGAGAACUCGGGUGAAGGAACUAGGCAAAAUGGCACCGUAACUUCGGGAGAAGGUGCGCCGGCUAGGGUGAAGGAUUUACUCCGUAAGCUCUGGCUGGUCGAAGAUACCAGGCCGCUGCGACUGUUUAUUAAAAACACAGCACUCUGCAAACACGAAAGUGGACGUAUAGGGUGUGACGCCUGCCCGGUGCCGGAAGGUUAAUUGAUGGGGUUAGCGCAAGCGAAGCUCUUGAUCGAAGCCCCGGUAAACGGCGGCCGUAACUAUAACGGUCCUAAGGUAGCGAAAUUCCUUGUCGGGUAAGUUCCGACCUGCACGAAUGGCGUAACGAUGGCGGCGCUGUCUCCACCCGAGACUCAGUGAAAUUGAAAUCGCUGUGAAGAUGCAGUGUAUCCGCGGCUAGACGGAAAGACCCCGUGAACCUUUACUGUAGCUUUGCACUGGACUUUGAGCCUGCUUGUGUAGGAUAGGUGGGAGGCUUUGAAGCGUGGACGCCAGUUCGCGUGGAGCCAUCCUUGAAAUACCACCCUGGCAUGCUUGAGGUUCUAACUCUGGUCCGUGAUCCGGAUCGAGGACAGUGUAUGGUGGGCAGUUUGACUGGGGCGGUCUCCUCCUAAAGAGUAACGGAGGAGUACGAAGGUGCGCUCAGACCGGUCGGAAAUCGGUCGCAGAGUAUAAAGGCAAAAGCGCGCUUGACUGCGAGACAGACACGUCGAGCAGGUACGAAAGUAGGUCUUAGUGAUCCGGUGGUUCUGUAUGGAAGGGCCAUCGCUCAACGGAUAAAAGGUACUCCGGGGAUAACAGGCUGAUACCGCCCAAGAGUUCAUAUCGACGGCGGUGUUUGGCACCUCGAUGUCGGCUCAUCACAUCCUGGGGCUGAAGCCGGUCCCAAGGGUAUGGCUGUUCGCCAUUUAAAGUGGUACGCGAGCUGGGUUUAGAACGUCGUGAGACAGUUCGGUCCCUAUCUGCCGUGGACGUUUGAGAUUUGAGAGGGGCUGCUCCUAGUACGAGAGGACCGGAGUGGACGAACCUCUGGUGUUCCGGUUGUCACGCCAGUGGCAUUGCCGGGUAGCUAUGUUCGGAAAAGAUAACCGCUGAAAGCAUCUAAGCGGGAAACUUGCCUCAAGAUGAGAUCUCACUGGGAACUUGAUUCCCCUGAAGGGCCGUCGAAGACUACGACGUUGAUAGGCUGGGUGUGUAAGCGUUGUGAGGCGUUGAGCUAACCAGUACUAAUUGCCCGUGAGGCUUGACCAUAUAACACCCAAACA